AGACCAGUGGCUAAGCUCUGUAUGGCCUCCUAGAACCAAAGACACCAAAAAUAGUAGAAGAAACUACCUACCUGACUAAAAUGACUGUGUCCUGCUUAACUUGAUGUUCUGUGAAUCUUGAUUGCUGGUAGUGAAAAUUCAGGAUACGACAUAUCUCAGAGUGUUUCCUACAGAGAGUGUUGGGGUAUAGUCAUUCCAGUUUGAGGGAAGAAAUAAUGUGGACAUAAAUGUACAAGCCUGCAUAAGUUU